CUUUCUCUUCCUUCUUCAUCUUCUCCUUCUCUCUUUUCUCUUAUGUUAUUUUUUCUUUUCUUCUUUCUCUCGAAUUCAAGUCGAUGAAGCGAGAUUGAUAUGAUGUGGGUGAUUCGUAGAAGCUUGUAGUGGUAUCGAUGGAGAAGUUGUUAGUAUUGAAGUUUAUUGUGAACCAGGAGAAGAGAAUUAUGUUACUGUAAGUUGAAUUUAGAGUUUUAUUUGGGGAAGAAAUAGAUGAAUCAGAGGAAAUAGGAGAACGGUAUUAUCCAUUGAAGGCUGCGGUGGACUCAAACAAAGAAGAAGAUGAUUUGGUAGAUGACUUUGGAAUUAGGGUUUGUAGAAUUAGUUUUGAAGUUUUUUGGAAUUGAUCAGUAGGUUGAGAUAGUGAUUGUCAGAGAAUAAAAGGGUUGAUGAAUUGAUAUUUCUGGAUUGUUUGGAUGAAGAAUUAGAAUUUAGGGUUCUUAAACAGAAUUAGGAUUUAGGGUUCUUGAGUUAACUGGAUCCUGGAAGAUGAAAUCGAGUGUUUAAGUGAUGAAUUAAAGAUGGUUUUUUGAUUGAAUUGAGGUUUUGAAGUUGAUUCGGUGAUGAAUCAGUGAAUCAGGGAUGGUGUUAUGUUCUUCCCCAAUUUAUGAGUUAGGGUUUCUGUGGGUUGAUGAUGAAGUAAAUGAGUGAAAUAACAAGAAAUUAAAAGUUGGAUUGUACUGAUAUGAUGUGAAGAUGAAGGUUGUGAAGCUGAUGAAAAAUUCAGAGAAGAUUAGAAGUUAAAAGAAAUGUUCUAUGAAGGAGAUAGAAGAUGGGUGUUGAGUGAUUUAGCAAUUCAGAGAAUACUAAUUGUUGGGUAAGUCUCUAAUUGUAUCAAUUUUGGUAUUUUGAUUUGAAUGAUCAUAAUUAUUGAGACUAUGUUAUUGUGUCUGAGUUUGUGAUGGGCUAUGAGAUGUUGAUGAAGUUAUUAUCUCAGUUAGGAGUGUAGCUAGGAAUAUUUGAUGUUGUUGAGUUGUUAUUUCAGUUGCAGUUAAAACGGAAUCGAUGAUAAUUGGAUUGAGUUAUUGAAGAUGUUGUUUGAAUUGAACUGAUGGUGUUAGUAGUGAGUUGCAUGUGAACUGUGUUUAGAUAUUUUAUUAUGUGUUUGGAUGGUGGUGUUAGUUGUAAUUCUAGUGGAGCAGUAGAUUCACUUGGUGUUGGUGGAGGUGGUUAUGUAAUUACAGUUGGUAAUGAAAUUGUUAUAGAUGUAUGAGUGGAUCAGAGUGUUCUUGAAGGCAUGAACUAGUUAUGAAGUUGAAUGACGGUAUGAUGGAUCUAUAGGGUGCGGUUGUAGUUGCAGGGGAUAUAAGUGCUGGUAUUGCUAUGAUGAUAUGUUGAAGGUGAUGGUGAUUAACUGAAGUGCAUUGUGUAAUAGCUAAGGAUAUUAAAGUUGAACUGGAAGUGGGAGAAGAAUAACUGGGUUAAAGUUGGUUUGGGUGUAUGUGAUGGUAGUUGUGUGUCUGAAGUGAAGAACGGAUGAGUACUUAGAGUUUUGGAAUGGUAAUGUAGGGUUAUUGAUGGUCUCAGUGGAGGCUUGCUUAGGACUGCAAUUUCAGUUUCAGAGACGGAUCAGAGUUGCGCAGCGGAAGCUUCAAGGAGUUGAGUUUAUUAGUUUGAUUAACUUCGGCUAUGUUAUUAUAUUGUAUGUUUUAUUUGUAAAUCAAAUGACUAUUGUAUAUGUAUCAUUUGAGAGGAGUUCUUGUAUAUAUAUAUUUCUGAGCGGGGCUAGUUUUGAGU